rnacentral:rRNA from 1 species
AUGGACGGAGAGUGGCCGGAACAGUUCAAUGAUCUGUACAAUUGGCUUGUCCUCGGGUAUCCAGGCGGAGACAACCAGGUUAUCCAGCAGAACCUUGGUGCUGAGGUGAAUGGCCUGCCUGGAGCCGCCGCCAACAUGGGCAACAACACUAACGCAGCUGCUGCAGAUCAAGGCAACGGCGGUGGACAGGCCAAUGGUGACCAGAGGACACGGCAUUUCAGGCGCCGUCACAACGUAGAACAGAUCCAAAUACUUGAAGCUGCUUUCAAAGAAGGCCAUCAUCCAGAUGAGAAGCGCCGGCUGGAGCUUAGCAGGAGGACUGGCCUGAGUCCUACACAGGUCCAGAUCUGGUUCCAAAACCGACGCAACUCGGGGAAGAGCAAGGCCCAGAAGAAGGAGACCGAGGAAUUUCAGGAAGAGAACGACCGGCUCCAAGCUGAAAAACAAGCACUCAUGUCGGCUAUGCAAAACAAGAUUUGCUUCAUAUGCAGAGGGGAGGAUACCCCGGAGCGGCAGCGCCUGUACGCCGAGAAUGUGAUGCUCAAGGACGCGCACAUGCGUAUCGCCGACUUCCUUAAGAGUGUCUCCGGUGGAAGGCUACAAGUGAUCAACCACACCGUCGUCGAUACCCAUGCCCCUCUCACGCUCACGGCUCCAAAUCCAGUGAUGAUUCCUGACGAGGGCGUUGCCCGCGACAACCCUGAAACCGGUGGAGACACCUUGGUGAUUCAGCAUGUUGCUUGUGCUAUGGAAGAGUUCAAGGUGCUUGUGGGCUUGGGUGCGCCGCUGUGGUCGCUAGCGGAAGGUGGCGAGGUGGAGGUGAUCGACUACAAGGAGUACAUGAAAAUGAUGUUCCCGAAUGAGCGCCACGAGAUGGAAUUUUGUGCGGAGGCCACUAGGAAGACUGGCAUCAUAUCGUGCACCGCCACCGACCUCGUCGGCAUCCUCAUGAACGCGGACUGGUGGUCUCAGACGUUCCCGGGCAUCGUGGCAAGUGCCACCACCAGCAAGAUCAUCACUCCCGGUGAUUCCGGAGAUGGGCUGGUUCAACUGAUGAGUGCAGAGCUGAGGGUGUUGUCGCCGCGGGUGCCGGUUCGCAAGAUCAACUUCAUUAGGCGUUGCCAGAAGAUCGCGGAGAACAUAUGGGCUGUGGUGGAUGUGUCUGUUGAUGGAAUUCGUGACCAGGCGGCGGGCCUCAAUGACGGCGCGCCUUCAACAUACACGGCCUGCAGGCUUCAGCCGAGUGGUUGCCAUAUCCAGGAGUUGAACAAUGGCCAUUGCCAGGUCACAUGGAUCGUGAAUAUGGUGCAUGAUGAGGCCACUGUACCACCGCUGCACCAUCCACUCUUCCGCUCCGGCUGGGCACUCGGUGCGUGCCGCUGGAUUGCAUCCCUCCAGAGGCGAUGCGAUUACAUUGCCUCCCUGCAUACCAACCCCGUUCUCACCCUCAACACCAGAUCUGGUGGAGCAGCUCCUAUAACGCCCGAGGGGAGGAAGAGCGUCCUGGAGGUAGCACAUCGGAUGACACUGAAGUUCUACGAAGCGAUCUGUGGCCCGGGGACCCAGCCAUGGACAAGCGUCGAUGAGCGGCGUGGCAGCUGUGGCGUUGGCGCCGAGAGGUUUGAGGUGGAUGUGCGCGUGGUGACCUUCCCCGUGGGUACAGGUGCUACCGUGCUGAGAGCUACGACGACGGUAUGGCUCCCCGGGACACCGGCGCAGCAAGUGUUCAACUACCUCUGUGAUGGAGAUCGCCGAACCGAGUGGGACAUCGGCGCCAACCGUACCUCCACCAUUCGCCAGGAGGGCUGUUUUGGCACUGGACAACUCGACGGCAACUCCGUCUCUCUCCUGCGCACCAUUGCUUCCAACGGAGCAUACGGCAAGCUGAUCCUGCAAGAGUCAUGCAUCGACGCCUCAUGCAUGGUGUUGGCGUAUGCUCAAAUUGAUGACCAAACCAUUCAGGAUGUCAUCAACGGUACCAACACCUCCUUCUCCCUCCUGCCGUCUGGGGUGGUCGUGCUCCCUGAUGGCAACGCCGAGCCAGGAGCGCCUCCAACAUCUGCCAUGUGCUCCUCCAGCUCCUCCGCCAGUCACAGGAGCAACUCCGGAUCGCUCGUCUCGAUCAUGUACCAGACACUGCUGAGCGGCCAGCCACCGGAGCAUCUCUUCAAAGCUGUUGCCGAGAAUGUGGGGAAUCUGCUCUGUCAAGCCAUCGACAAGAUCAAAUCUGGCGUCCAUGCUAACGUCGUUUUAGCUGCUUGA